rnacentral:rRNA from 1 species
GGCAUAUCAAAAAGCGGAGGAAAAGAAACCAACAGGGAUUGCCCUAGUAACGGCGAGUGAAGCGGCAACAGCUCAAAUUUGAAAUCUGGCGUCUUCGGCGUCCGAGUUGUAAUUUGCAGAGGGCGCUUUGGCAUUGGCAGCGGUCCAAGUUCCUUGGAACAGGACGUCACAGAGGGUGAGAAUCCCGUACGUGGUCGCUAGCCUUUACCGUGUAAAGCCCCUUCGACGAGUCGAGUUGUUUGGGAAUGCAGCUCUAAAUGGGAGGUAAAUUUCUUCUAAAGCUAAAUACUGGCCAGAGACCGAUAGCGCACAAGUAGAGUGAUCGAAAGAUGAAAAGCACUUUGGAAAGAGAGUUAAAAAGCACGUGAAAUUGUUGAAAGGGAAGCGCUUGCAGCCAGACUUGCCUGUAGUUGCUCAUCCGGGUUUCUACCCGGUGCACUCUUCUACGGGCAGGCCAGCAUCAGUUUGGGCGGUUGGAUAAAGGUCUCUGUCAUGUACCUCCUCUCGGGGAGAACUUAUAGGGGAGACGACAUGCAACCAGCCCGGACUGAGGUCCGCGCAUCUGCUAGGAUGCUGGCGUAAUGGCUGUAAGCGGCCCGUCUUGAAACACGGACCA